AGCCCCUGCGCCGGCCCGCCCCCGCUCCAGGAGCACCGGCCUGGGACGGGAGAUGGGGCCGUGGGAGGGCACUGUGGGAGUGCUCUUCACGGCUGUGGCUUAGUGUGUGCUAAGGGACCUGCCCACAUGUGGGUUACAGCUGUUGUGAGUCGUUCAGCCAUCGCACACCCUCUGUCUCCGUGGACUGCCAGUCGCAGUGGGAGGCUGCUCUGAGUGGCAUAGUCUGAGAAACUCAACAGAGGAGUCUGCAGCUAUCACUGGGAGGAAGAGGUUUGGAGAACCCAGAGAAGAAAUUGCUGGAAUGACCCUGGUUCUCAGAGGAAAAAUAAACAGGCACAUGACAUUAAUCACAGUCCUUGGGUAUCGUAUUGGAAGUCUCGCAAAUACUUUCGAUGUGGAAAUGUGAACUAGGUUUGCAUCUUUGGAAAACACCAAUGACAGCUUAUUGUUUGCUAGUACUUACUCUCCUAUUCUGAUAAAUGAUUCCAAUAAUUCUUUAAAAUUCUUUUGUGACUGUGUUCCUUUUUAGAUGCCAGAAGAGUUCAAAAGUUUAUGAAGACAACCUUGAACAGCUUGCAUCUGUGUGUGUAUAUUUGCAUAAUUGGGCUAAGUUUUCAUUUGAGAGAAAAUAUGGAUCACAUAAAAGGUUCAGAGGUGAUUCAAAGAUCCAGAGUCCCUUCAGCAAGUACUAUCAAACAUGGCCAAAAAUGUUUUCUUUAAGAUAGUUU